AUGCCAACUGGCGGUCACUCGGUGGUGCCGUGCACAACUGUAGUGACAACGAGCGACCAUUUUAUUCCAUUUCUUUGCAUCACGAAUUACACUUUCAAGACGAUAUCGUAUAUCAACUCUUACAAUACGAGCAGUGUAAUCUCUGUGAGGACUGUACAGCAGGAAAUUCUGCAAUCAGAUAUUCAGUCCAAGGCGGAUAAAAGUCCUGUGACAGUAGCUGACUAUGGAUCUCAAGUAUUGGUAAGUCUUGCGUUAAAUAUGGAAGUAACUUCUGGUUCAUUUUCUAUGGUGGCCGAAGAGGACUCAGAAGACUUGAGAAAGGAUAACGCUGAAGAAAUUCUGGAACAUAUUACUGAUCUUGUAAAUGAAACUCUCGCUGAGAAUGGUUCAUACAACAUUACUUUAUCUAAGGAAGGUAUCCUCUCUGCAAUUGAUACUGGGAAGUCUGAAGGAGGUCCAUCUGGCCGACAUUGGGUUCUGGAUCCAAUUGAUGGGACUAAAGGUUUCUUGAGAGGAGGCCAAUAUGCAAUCGCACUGGCACUGCUUGAUGAGGGCAAAGUUGUUUUGGGCGUGUUGGGAUGUCCAAAUCUUCCUUUGACAUCAAUAAGCAACCUCAAUGGUAGCUCAUCAGGAGAUCAAACGGGGGCCCUCUUUUCAGCUACAAUUGGUUGUGGUGCUGAAGUAGAGUCAUUAGAGGGCUCUCCACCACAAAAGAUUAGUGUUUGUACCAUCGACAAUCCAGUGAAUGCCUCGUUUUUUGAAUCCUAUGAAGGAGCACACACAAUGCAUGAUUUAACUGGCUCUAUAGCGGAGAAACUUGGUGUCCAAGCUCCUCCAGUCAGAAUAGAUAGCCAAGCAAAAUAUGGUGCUCUGGCCUGUGGCGUUGGUGCCAUUUACUUGCGUUUUCCACACAAGGGUUAUAAGGAAAAGAUAUGGGAUCAUGCAGCUGGCGCAAUUGUCGUCACAGAAGCUGGAGGUGUAGUAACAGAUGCCUCAGGAAACGAUCUCGAUUUCUCGAAAGGGAGAUUUCUUGAUGUUGACACAGGCAUCAUUGCCACAAAUAAGCAGUUGAUGCCAUCACUGCUGAAGUCUGUCCAGGAGGCCAUCAAGGAGAAAAGCCAGGCCCCUUCCCCAUUGUAG
rnacentral:rRNA from 1 species